AAGUAAAUGAUUUGGAUUCUUUUGGAUUCAAAAAUCUAACUUUGUGGUAAUAUUGAAAAAUUUGAUUUGAGUUUAAAGAUGAUGUUUUCUAGAAAUGGAUAAUAUCGACUCAAGUAUUUUUUAUCAACCUCUUUUAUUAUUUGACUGAAUUAUCAAGUAUAUUGAUCAUAUGAUUAAUAAAAAAAGUUUAUAAA
rnacentral:misc_RNA from 1 species